rnacentral:rRNA from 1 species
GGUCCAGACUCCUACGGGAGGCAGCAGUGAGGAAUAUUGGUCAAUGGGCGCGAGCCUGAACCAGCCAAGUCGCGUGAGGGAGGACGGCCCUACGGGUUGUAAACCUCUUUUGCCGGGGAGCAACGGGCGUCACGUGUGGCGCCACUGAGAGUACCCGGAGAAAAAGCAUCGGCUAACUCCGUGCCAGCAGCCGCGGUAAUACGGAGGAUGCGAGCGUUAUCCGGAUUUAUUGGGUUUAAAGGGUGCGCAGGCGGAGGUGCAAGUCAGCGGUCAAAUUGCGGGGCUCAACCCCGUACUGCCGUUGAAACUGGGGAUCUAGAGUGUGCGAGAGGUAUGCGGAAUGCGUGGUGUAGCGGUGAAAUGCAUAGAUAUCACGCAGAACCCCGAUUGCGAAGGCAGCAUACCGGUGCACAACUGACGCUCAGGCACGAAAGCGUGGGUAUCGAACAGGAUUAGAUACCCGUGUAC